AGCAUGGAGCCAGCCUCACUAAAUUCCUGGAGAAAGUUGAUGCCAGACAGCCUUUCCUCCUCUGCACUGGACAACAUAAGAAGAAAGUCGAGAGAUUCUUCAUCGUUGUGGACAACAAACCCAUGCAACGCCCUGACGUCGUCUACAACAUAGAUGUUGGAAGCGCAAAGGAAACGCCACGAGUCAAGGAGCUGAGAGCACGACUGCUACGUGAGGCUUAAAUUCCCACCAUUGCACAAAGGUCAAGGAAUUGUUACAAAAAAACUGUUCAGUGAUUAUGUUCACCUGUUUUGUUUGCAAAACACACCACAAAAAUUGUUCGCUUCUAUGUCAGCAUUUAAAGUUCCAGCACGGUUUAUACCCAGCCAAAAACCUACGUCUGAAGUGUGGAGAACAAGGAUGUCCUUCUUCUUUUUGUACAUACAAUGGCUUCAGGAAGCAUCUUAACAAUGUACACAGUCAUCACCAGGAUGAACAGGUUGAUUCCAACCAGGAUUAGGACAUGCAAAGACAUUCUGAUGUUGAAUUAUCAAGUGAUGAGCCAACAACUUCUGCAUCCCUGUUGCAGGUUCCCCCUGUUAUCACACCGAACUCUCUUGAUAGUAUGUGCGGCUCAAUUGUUGCACACUUACAAGCUUCUGGUGUUGCUGAAAGCACGGUCCAAACAAUAGUUAGUUCAAUGGAGGAAGUUGUCAGUGAUGUACAAAUUCAAACACGAGAGGCAGUUUUCCAAACAUUUUCCGCCGAAAUAAGGAGUCAGAAAUGUGUAUGAAAAUAGAGCACAGUUUAAAUAAAUUAGAUAAUCCUUUUUCAAAAUUGAACACGGAGACAAAGAGAAAGAAAUAUUUUUCUGAAAAAUGGGACAUAGUAGAGCCUAAAGAAUUGGUCCUUGGAGUGAGAUUGGAUAAACGUAGAGAUAGACCUACAGGUGUUUAUAGUCAGAUUCCUGUUACAGACAAGUACAUGUAUGUACCCAUUUUAGGUACAUUAAAAUCCAUUUUCAAAAACAGUGAGAUAAGAGAGUGCUUCUUGCAAGAGAAACGCAGUAAAACAGGGAUGUACCAAGACAUUAAUGAUGGGUUAUAUUUCCGAAACCAUCCUCUGUUCUCACAACAUAGACAUGCCUUACAAAUCUUGCUCUACUAUGACGAUUUUGAAACGGCUAACCCACUAGGUUCCAAGA
ensembl:lncRNA